rnacentral:tRNA from 1 species
UUUUCUUUAGUAUAAUCAAGUAUAUUUAACUUCCAAUUAAAAGGUUUCAUUUUAAAGAAAAA